CCUACGGGGGGCAGCAGUGGGGAAUAUUGCACAAUGGGGGAAACCCUGAUGCAGCGACGCCGCGUGAAGGACGAAGUAUUUCGGUACGUAAACUUCUAUCAGCAGGGAAGAAAAUGACGGUACCUGACCACGAAGCCCCGGCUAACUCCGUGCCAGCAGCCGCGGUAAUACGGAGGAUCCGAGCGUUAUCCGGAUUUAUUGGGUGUAAAGGGAGCGUAUACGGCAGCACAAGUCUGGAGUGAAAUCCCGGGGCUUAACCCCGGAACUGCUUUGGAAACUGUGCGGCUGGAGUGCAGGAGGGGUAAGCGGAAUUCCUAGUGUAGCGGUGAAAUGCGUAGAUAUUAGGAGGAACACCGGUGGCGAAGGCGGCUUACUGGACUGUAACUGACGUUGAGGCUCGAAAGCGUGGGGAGCAAACAGGAUUAGAUACCCGAGUAGUC
rnacentral:rRNA from 1 species